rnacentral:rRNA from 1 species
GACGAACGCUGGCGGCGUGCCUAAUACAUGCAAGUUGAGCGAUGAAGAUUGGUGCUUGCACCAAUUUGAAGAGCAGCGAACGGGUGAGUAACGCGUGGGGAAUCUGCCUUUGAGCGGGGGACAACAUUUGGAAACGAAUGCUAAUACCGCAUAACAACUUUAAACAUAAGUUUUAAGUUUGAAAGAUGCAAUUGCAUCACUCAAAGAUGAUCCCGCGUUGUAUUAGCUAGUUGGUGAGGUAAAGGCUCACCAAGGCGAUGAUACAUAGCCGACCUGAGAGGGUGAGCGGCCACAUUGGGACUGAGACACGGCCCAAACUCCUACGGGAGGCAGCAGUAGGGAAUCUUCGGCAAUAGACGAAAGUCUGACCGAGCAACGCCGCGUGAGUGAAGAAGGUUUUCGGAUCGUAAAACUCUGUUGGUAGAGAAGAACGUUGGUGAGAGUGGAAAGCUCAUCAAGUGACGGUAACUACCCAGAAAGGGACGGCUAACUACGUG